rnacentral:lncRNA from 1 species
AACUCCUUUCACUUUCUCUUCCCAAACAGAGCUUCCAUCAAUUUACCCCCUUUCGGGUUUGUCCAUAUAGUUUUGUUUCCCUCAGCAACCUGGAUCCACCGAUCGAAUUCGCAGAUCGGUUUAUGUAGAUCUGGAAACGGGGUUGUGGACUUCGCUCGGAUCGAUCUCCCAAUCGCGUGCAAAGGUAUCUUCUGCACUUUCAUGUAAUUCUCCCGCCUCGCAAAUAUACCCGAUCGGGUAUUACCCGAUGCAAAGCUUCUUCAACACAUCUCUUCACUGUUCAGAAAGUUACCCACCUCCACCGGCUCGUUCGCAGAGGGAGAAUUACCGAGAGUCAUGCACAACACGCGCUAAAAGCUUCUUCACUCGCUGCUUGACAAGUGCUCCAGACAGCCGCAGUACUCAAGGUAUUGCGUACAUUCCAGAACACACCAAUACGUUUUAUACUUUGUCUCGUGUUUCAAUCAGUACUCUAGUUUUGGAGUUUUCUAGUAUUCCUAGCUAGCUUUGAGAUAUAUAUCAAAAUUGUAGAUUAAGGACACUAGAACUUUAGAUUCUAGACGUAGCUGGUUGGUUAAUGAGUUUGUGUUUUCUAUGUGGGUGAGAUGAGGAUCACCUUAAGUACCAUGACUAGCAGGAUCACCUCACUUUAUAGUUUUAAUGAGUUGUGGAUUUAUACAGAUGUUGUUAUCAGACUAACUAACUAACCAAUUGUCAAUAACACAAACAUCUUCAUUAAACUCACACACAACUUGAGUUUUAAGAUUACAAGAUUGAAACAAACUAUAACAUAUGUAGAAGAAAAACUGACGAUGAACAUCAUUAAGGCUCUUAUCUUGAUUAUAAGUUUUUUAGAUUGAUACUUUAGAUCACCUAGCAAUGAAACCUAGCAAUGAAAGUUAAACAACAUUUCAUCUUCACCAAACACUACUUAUGAUUAAUGAAGAAGCAAAAUAGAUUAAAACUAUCUAAUCAAUUGUUAAUAACAAAAACAUUUUCAUUAAACUCACACACAACUUCAGUUUCAAGAUUACAAGAUUGACAAAAACACAAUAACAUAGGUAGAAGAAAAUCUGACGAUGAACAUCAUUAAGGAUCCUAUCUUGAUC